AAAGCGUUUUUGUAUCUUUACCACACUAUAACAAAAAUAUAAAAAAUAUGGUGAUAGAAUUUACUUUUUAUUUUAUAUAUUGGUUAUAUUAUUCAGAAACAAGCAAAUGUAAACAGCAAAUGCAAAAGAGGACAUCAAAUUAAGCAACACCCACAUUUCUUUCCUUGUUUUUUUCUGUCUCUCUAUGUGAUAAAAUAAUUAUAACUCUAUACAUAUGAUACUUUGACACCAGAGUGAUCUCCCAGUGAGCAUGAUUUGCUGUCAUACUGUGCUUCCUUUGUAUCAUUUGACAGUGUGGGAAAUGUGUAUCACCUGCAAAUAAUGCAGUUAUUUGUAUAUUUGUACAUCAUUAUAUUACAAACAGGAUGAAAGUCUUGCUUUAUAGUUAAUGUGUACAGAAUUUGGUUUACAGACCUCAAAACUCUUAGGGUUUUUAAGGUAUCAGUAGAAAUACAGGAAAUCAUUUGUUUAAACCCUCCUACAGCAUAGUAUAAACUUUGUAGAUAGGUAUGUUUUCAACAAAUACAAAUUUUAAGUAAACUUUUCUCUUAUCAAAACUGGUAAUGACAGGAAAAUGGUCUGGAGUGGUUUCAGUAAACUAUGAAUGACCAGACAAAAUCCAAGAUCAUGGUUAUAUUUUACAAUUUUACUUGGUAUGGUAACUGAAUCAGGCAGUGAACAACAAUGGCUGCUGAGAGUUAAAGGAUGUCAAAUAGUGUACAAGUACUUGCUUUCUGGUAACUUAGUUCCACCUAUUCAACAUAUAUAUAUUGCACCAGCCACCAUAACCCAUAAGUGUGUAAUAUCAACUAAAUGGUUAGAGGUAAUAGUGUAAGUAAAUAGCAAUACUAUUUGAACAGUUAAGGGAAAAUUCAUCUACUUGGUUAUACUAAAGAAUGUUCCUGGGUGUAUGAAGCACUAAACAGAUGGAUAUAUAUCAGUGUUCAUUACUUUUUUCUUUCCGAUUCAUUUACAAAUUUAUUGAUGCUAAAAGCACACAAGGAGAAACAAACAAGUUGUUAUGGAAAGAAAACUUUACUGAAUGCCUAUGUACAAUACUGUACAGUACAAACCAUAAGUUGGGCACUUUUGCAGUAAACUCAUCUACCAUUCUAUUUCAUUUUCACAAGAAAAUUCAUUCACAAUUAUACAAUAUGGAAACUUAAAACGACAAAAACGGAGGUGGAGGUGGUGGUGGUGGUGGUGGUGAUGAUGAUGAUGAUAAUAUUAUCCAAUAAUAAAAAAACUAUUUGGUAAUCACAUUGCUGACAAAAUUCAAAAUAAAAUUAAUAAUAAAAAGAAAUGAGCUCCAGUAAUCACACCCAAAAUCAGAAUAAAUUACAUUGGUGAAGUUCCCUUUCCAUAGUAAUCCAGUUGAUCCUUAAUCAUAAGACUGUAAUUCCCUAAUACAUUUUAACUGCUUAAAUUAUCCAUCAAAAGCCAAGCUCUGUGAGAAAUGCAGAGUAUAAAAGAAGCAAAAAAUACAGUUACAGGAUGAUACAAUAUGGUAAUUACCAUUAUGCUCAUGAAACAGAAAAAUAAGUAAAAACAGAACUUGUUCAUAAUAGUAAUGUUGAGAGAUUAAAUACAAUAACAAAGAAGAAUCACUACAGUCCCUAUCACAGAAUGUGUUAGAUAUGCUGCAUGGAACAGAGUUUGGAUUAGUGGUAGACCUUCAAGUGCACUAACCAUGUAUUUAUCUUCCGAUAAAGUAACUAUUUUCAGAUAUCUUAGUUCGAUUCAGUACUAGAUAAAGUGUACUUUAUGAAAUUCAUUCCUAAAGUCUGUUUCAGGCAGCAAUGAUCUGAACCUGUAGGGAAGCAAAUUCUUGAGAAAGAGGUGUUCCAAGCUAAACUUCAGCACAGAUCAUGUGAAGUUAUAUAUAUAUAUAUAUAUAUAUAUAUAUACCUUUAAGUAUAUAUUUAUUAUCAAAAUUCUCUCAGUUCACGUCUUCAGUAAUGUUGAAAUAAUGUGUUGGCAGUGAUCUUAGGAGUACAUGUCUUAAAAGAAAAAAUUUAUAGAAUAAAUUCCCAAAGUGAUAACAUUACAUAUUCAUUCAAGUUUCUAUACAGCAGUGAUUUUAAGCUAUACAAAGGCCUUUGACCACAAAAAGUCUGCCAAUUACAGCACAGAAAAAGGAUCAAGUGCCCAAGUGCUGCACACAAGAUGAAGGACUGAUGGUUAACUUGAUUUCUUGAAAUUAAGAAAAUCUUAUACAUGGCUCGCAAUCAAAAUCACAAAAAGACUGGAUACCAGUUUUUCUACAUAGGAAAAAAAUCCCUGUCAUGAUUCUGAGGGUUACCCAACAUAAUGUUUUGAAUCAAUCAUAUAUCAUGAUUCUUCCAGGCUCCUAUGGUAAAAUUGCUAGAGUAGCUAAAAAAUACUAUAUAAAAUGAAUUAUUACCUUCCUAUGCUUAAGGUAAACUUAAGAUAAAAUUGUUCUAAAAUGCUAUUAGUUUUCUUUUCAAUUUAUUACCUCCACUUUUACCAAGUAAACAACAAUUAUGCAUUAUAUUUGUGCCCAGUGAAAAGCUAUUUGGUGCAACACAGGUCAACAUGAAGAGCAAAACUACUGGUUGUAGAGUUUAAUACAAAGAUAAAAAUUUAUAGUGAAACAAUUAUGAAUGUAAUGGAUUUUAUUACCCAGCAAUCUUUAUAAGAAUCACUAUGUCUUUGGCUGGCUGGGGAAGCAUCCAGGGUUGUAGACAGGUAGAUAGGUAAUGGAUAAAGAUAAUGUAAGGGGAAAAGGAGUUAUGAAGGCAAGAUGCUAAAACUGACCAGACAAUACUAGGCCCAGGUUGCAGGUUACCAUCGCAAAUAUAUUUGGUUCUAAUUCCCUGUAUUACAAUUUUCAUCACCAUUGUAAUGCAGGUUUAUAGCUCUUCACAAGAACCAUCUUACAGACCAAAACUUUCACAAAUUCAGUUGUUUUUUUAUGAGUUCAACAAAGUAAAUAUUAAAGGAUUAUAACCAAGCCUAAAAGUAUGUAAUCUUAAAAUACCCCUACAAUCUACAGUUUGAAUACCACCUCAACACUUAUACUGUAUAUAGACAUGUCAUAAGUGCCUAAAUAUGAAGCAGCAUGCGAUGGCAUCAUGCAACAAUCAUCCAGGCCUGAACUCAAUACUCGUCGUCAUCAUCGUAAUUUCUUGCGAACCGCAUAAAUGAAGGAAGAAGGGGGUAGCCAACGGUGCAGUUUGGGACUUUAUGACCCAUGCGCUCCUCACGGUCUUACAUGGAAGGAGGGA